GCAGUCAUGGCCGAGUGGUUAAGGCGAUGGACUAGAAAUUCAUUGGGGUCUCCCCGCACAGGUUCGAAUCCUGUCGACUGCG
rnacentral:tRNA from 1 species